rnacentral:rRNA from 1 species
CCCUUAGAUGUUCUGGGCCGCACGCGUGCUACACUGAGUGGAUCAGCGGGUCAGGUUGCGCGAAAGUGUUUCCUAAUCUUUAAAUCCGCUCGUGAUGGGGAUUGACGGUUGCAAUUUUCCGUCUUGAACGAGGAAUACCUUGUAAGCGCGGGUCAUCAUCCCGCGCUGAAUACGUCCCUGCCCUUUGUACACACCGCCCGUCGCUCCUACCGAUUGAGUGGUCCGGUGAGGCUUUGGGAUCUGAGCGGAAAGAGCGUUUCGCUGUUUCUGCCCGGAAAACUCAGUCGAACCUUAUCAUUUAGAGGAAGGAGAAGUCGUAACA